CUGCUGCCUUCCGUAGGAGUUUGGUCCGUGUCUCAGUACCAAUGUGGGGGACCUUCCUCUCAGAACCCCUAUCCAUCGUCGGUUUGGUGGGCCGUUACCCCGCCAACUGCCUAAUGGAACGCAUGCCUAUCUAUCAGCGAUGAAUCUUUAGCAAAUAUCCCCAUGCGGGGCCCCUGCUUCAUGCGGUAUUAGUCCGACUUUCGCCGGGUUACUCCCCCUCUGAUAGGCAAGUUGCAUACGCGUUACUCACCCGUCGCGCCGGUCCG
rnacentral:rRNA from 1 species